UAAUACGGAGGGUGCGAGCGUUAAUCGGAAUUACUGGGCGUAAAGCGCACGCAGGCGGUUUGUUAAGCUAGAUGUGAAAGCCCCGGGCUCAACCUGGGAUGGUCAUUUAGAACUGGCAGACUAGAGUCUUGGAGAGGGGAGUGGAAUUCCAGGUGUAGCGGUGAAAUGCGUAGAUAUCUGGAGGAACAUCAGUGGCGAAGGCGACUCCCUGGCCAAAGACUGACGCUCAUGUGCGAAAGUGUGGGUAGCGAACAGGAUUAGAUACCCUGGUAGUCCACACCGUAAACGCUGUCUACUAGCUGUGUGUGUCUUUAAGACGUGCGUAGCGAAGCUAACGCGCUAAGUAGACCGCCUGGGGAGUACGGCCGCAAGGUUA
rnacentral:rRNA from 1 species